AGGUCGUGAUGUGGACACUUGUGCAAUAAGUCUUUGUUUCGCUCCCCCGCCUCAUACAAUGAUUUAUCCUCAAAUUGGACGAAGGUAGUAAUAUCAUUCCUUAAUUU